CCUAUGGGUGGCAGCAGUGAGGAAUAUUGGUCAAUGGACGAGAGUCUGAACCAGCCAAGUAGCGUGAAGGAUGACUGCCCUAUGGGUUGUAAACUUCUUUUAUAUGGGAAUAAAACGUUCCACGUGUGGGAUUUUGUAUGUACCAUAAGAAUAAGGAUCGGCUAACUCGGUGCCAGCAGCCGCGGUAAUAAGGAGGAUCCGAGCAUUAUCCGGAUUUAUCGGGUUUAAAGGGAGCGUAGGUGGAGUGUUAAGUCAGUUGUGAAAGUUUGCGGCUCAACCGUAAAAUUGCAGUUGAAACUGGCAGUCUUGAGUACAGUAGAGGUGGGCGGAAUUCGUGGUGUAGCGGUGAAAUGCUUAGAUAUCACGAAGAACUCCGAUUGCGAAGGCAGUUCACUGGACUGCAACUGACACUGAGGCUCGAAAGUGUGGGUAUCAAACAGGAUUAGAUACCCGUGUAGUC
rnacentral:rRNA from 1 species